CGAGUUAUCUGAACCUUCGGGGAACGAUAACGGCGUCGAGCGGCGGACGGGUGAGUAAUGCCUAGGAAAUUGCCCUGAUGUGGGGGAUAACCAUUGGAAACGAUGGCUAAUACCGCAUGAUGCCUUCGGGCCAAAGAGGGGGACCUUCGGGCCUCUCGCGUCAGGAUAUGCCUAGGUGGGAUUAGCUAGUUGGUGAGGUAAGGGCUCACCAAGGCGACGAUCCCUAGCUGGUCUGAGAGGAUGAUCAGCCACACUGGAACUGAGACACGGUCCAGACUCCUACGGGAGGCAGCAGUGGGGAAUAUUGCACAAUGGGCGCAAGCCUGAUGCAGCCAUGCCGCGUGUGUGAAGAAGGCCUUCGGGUUGUAAAGCACUUUCAGUCGUGAGGAAGGUAGUGUAGUUAAUAGCUGUAUUAUUUGACGUUAGCGACAGAAGAAGCACCGGCUAACUCCGUGCCAGCAGCCGCGGUAAUACGGAGGGUGCGAGCGUUAAUCGGAAUUACUGGGCGUAAAGCGCAUGCAGGUGGUUUGUUAAGUCAGAUGUGAAAGCCCGGGGCUCAACCUCGGAAUAGCAUUUGAAACUGGCAGACUAGAGUACUGUAGAGGGGGGUAGAAUUUCAGGUGUAGCGGUGAAAUGCGUAGAGAUCUG
rnacentral:rRNA from 1 species